GGGGCUGACCGGUUUUGACAGCAGGCAGAAGCCGCUUGUAAGCACGCCGAGCGUUGUGUGGGCGCUCGUUAAAGUGAACACUCAAAAAUUCAAAUGGCAAUAACAGCUAUGCACUCGCUGCCUAAUCUGACCAAGUCACAUUAGCUUAAUCCGCGCGCCCAAGGGGUGUGCCGACGAGUACCUCGCCUGUGUGGUCACCCGCUCUUUGUGGCCGCCGGCUUUUCGGGGUAUCAAACAAUUAAGAGAUAGUCCGGCGGAGUGUUCCGGCCGUCGGGCGAAAUCAAGGGACUGGGCUUCGUGGUGGGUUGUUGUCUGCCAGCCACGAGGAGAAGGACCAAACGACAACUAAGCGUGUAGAAACCAUUCGGGUUCCUUGUUUGGACGAGGGUUCGACUCCCUCCAGCUCCACCA
rnacentral:tmRNA from 1 species